rnacentral:rRNA from 1 species
GUUAGGAAUAUUGGACAAUGGGGGAAACCCUGAUCUAGCCAUGCCGCGUGAGCGAUGAAGGCCUUAGGGUUGUAAAGCUCUUUCAGAUGGGAAGAUAAUGACGGUACCAUCAGAAGAAGCCCCGGCUAACUCCGUGCCAGCAGCCGCGGUAAUACGGAGGGUGCAAGCGUUAUCCGGAUUCACUGGGUUUAAAGGGUGCGUAGGCGGGCAGGUAAGUCAGUGGUGAAAUCCUAGAGCUUAACUCUAGAACUGCCAUUGAUACUAUCUGUCUUGAAUAUUGUGGAGGUAAGCGGAAUAUGUCAUGUAGCGGUGAAAUGCUUAGAUAUGACAUAGAACACCUAUUGCGAAGGCAGCUUACUACGCAUAUAUUGACGCUGAGGCACGAAAGCGUGGGGAUCAAACAGGAUUAGAAACCCGAGUAGUCC